UCGGGGGUGACUAGGAACCGAAAGGUUCCUUUGAUUUUCUUUAUUUUUUUUCUCUUUUUAGAAUUUUUGUGGGUUUUUUGGAUAUUUUGGCCUCAGAUCGGGGUCAAGGGAAAUAAAACGGUCAAAACGGGCCUUUUUCUUGAACUCCGACCACCGGGGAUGGUGGCUGCCAUCGCCAACGACCAGUGGUCGUGGCGGUCCACGACGAUGCCGUUG
rnacentral:lncRNA from 1 species